AGAAAAAUAGAAUUUGCAGCAAAUGUGAAGUAUUUAUAUAUUUGUUUUUAGUGAAGCACUAUUUGUUUGAUAAAUAUAGUUUAUCUUGUUUUAAAACGAAUUAUUGAUUAAAUAUAUCUAUUUUAAUUAAUAUUUCAACGUUACGUCUUGAACUUGAAAUAAAAGCAGUUUUAUAAGAAGAAAACAUGUUUCCGGCUUAUUCAUAUUUAUCAGCUUAUGAUAGACAUAAAAAACUUAUUAAUGAUUAUUUUACAUUAUAUGGAGGUUCGGUAUCAUCUUUAGAACGAGACACCUCUUGACGUUUCGGCCUGUGUUUCGAGGUCCCGAGACAAGACAGACUAUGAUGUCAUUAAAGAAAACCAUAGAUUUUUAUGGGAUCAAGAUAAAGAUGAACCAAAUACAUGGGGUGCUCGUUUGGCAAAGAAAUAUUACGAUAAAUUGUUUAAAGAAUAUUGUAUAGCAGAUUUAACAUAUUAUAAGCAAAACAAGGUUGCCUUAAGAUGGAGAACAGAAAAAGAAGUUAUCAUUGGUAAAGGACAAUUUGAAUGUGGAAAUAAAAAAUGUAAAAAUAAGGAACAACUUAAAUCUUGGGAAGUAAAUUUUGGUUAUAUAGAGCAUGGUCAAAAAAAGAACGCUCUUGUCAAAUUAAGAUUGUGUCCUGAAUGCUCCAUGAAAUUAAAUUAUAGAUCC
rnacentral:misc_RNA from 1 species